UACAGAGGUCCCAAGCGUUGUUCGGAUUCACUGGGCGUAAAGGGUGCGUAGGCGGUCGGGUAAGUCUGAUGUGAAAUCUCACAGCUUAACUGUGAAACUGCAUUGGAUACUAUUCGGCUUGAGAGUUGGAGGGGGGACUGGAAUUCUUGGUGUAGCAGUGAAAUGCGUAGAUAUCAAGAGGAACACCAGUGGCGAAGGCGAGUCUCUGGACAUUUCCUGACGCUGAGGCACGAAAGCCAGGGGAGCAAACGGG
rnacentral:rRNA from 1 species